CAUGAAUUUGUCAGAUCAUGAAAUGUAAAGCAAUGUCAAAAAAGCAUGUAUUGGUGAGAGUUUAUUGAAAUAAGAAAGGUUCUUCAUGGAUAAGCUUCUAGAGCAAUUCGUUCAGGAGAGUUUUUAUUUGAAGUAUAUAAACAUGAGAUUUUAUACAUAGCACACAGUUCUGGGGGGCUAAGUCUUUAUAGAAGAUCAACCAGGAGGUUCUAUAUUUCAUAAGUAAUAUUCAUUUUCUGAUACUGCUCAAUUUUGUUUCGAAAGAAUUUUCUCAAUGGGAAAAAACUGGAACAACGCCUGAUUUCAAGGAACGCUGUUAGACAUAUAUGUUAUGUGAUAAUCUCUAUCGUAUAUUAUUGAAAUAGGAAAAUCAUUUUAUAUUUUUGAUCAAUAUAUUUUCACUGGCUA